AGGACGCGUGGCCCCAUAAGAUGGGAGCUGUACAAUAUUAUCAGUACUACUCAAUGUCCUAUAAAGGAAGCACUAAGUAAUACACGUUAAGUAGCCAUUUCUGGUUUUACGGAUUGUUGUAUUAUUAUAUUAUACGCGAUGAAGCGACAUACCAGCAAAUCUCCGGUUUACGCAUUCACGUUUAUUUUGUUACUGGGCAAUUUUGGAAUAAAUCAUUUUUUAUGGUGUGACACAAUAUUCUGAGGAAAUGGCACUGGUCCAUUUGGUGUGUGUUUAUCUUUUGUUAAUGGGACUUCCUUCAGCAUUGAGUGAUUGCAACACUUGCGUUAGAGAAUAUCGCCACAUGUGCGUGGAAACAUCGUGCUAUCGACACAGGAGUAGCAGACCUUUCGAUAUUCGUUUCGUUUAUCGAUGUUUAACAAUAUGUUCAAAUAAGAGACGAUCCUGUCGCCAGCUUUGUCCAAAUGGAAGACUUUAAUUGAUUGCUUGUGAGCAGAAAGUGACUGCGUGAAUUUCAAUUCGAAUACGUCAAUCGAUUUAAUUUAAAGUGACCAAUAAAAAGAUUUUUAAUAUUUGAAAAAAAUGGAUUUUUUGAUUUCGAUCUCAUUCCAUGUUGCACAUAUUCACAAGUGUACCUUUCAUCCGUGUGAGAGGAAUUUGCCUUCGCUUGACUCUCAUUUUUCAUGUGACGGACACCUACUUCAUCCCUUGGUUUACCCUCAUUUUCCAUGUGACAGAGACACUUUCCUUCAGUUCUCAGUGAAACCGGACACGUUAGUUACAGUGUUAUGCCACUUACAGUGCUCCCGGAUAUUCAUUUCUAUUUAUUGAACUGCCAACGUCUCAUUUAAUCACUGCCAUAUUUUAUUCUAAACGAGUGCAGCAUUUAUGCGUAAACGUUAAUAAAACAUUUUUAAAAAACUA